UACGUAGGGUGCAGGCGUUAAUCGGAAUUACUGGGCGUAAAGGGCGCGUAGGCGGUCAGCACAAGUCAGUUGUGAAAUCUCCGGGCUUAACCCGGAAAGGUCAACUGAUACUGUGCGACUAGAGUGCGGAAGGGGCAACUGGAAUUCUCGGUGUAGCGGUGAAAUGCGUAGAUAUCGAGAGGAACACCUGCGGCGAAGGCGGGUUGCUGGGCCGACACUGACGCUGAUGCGCGAAAGCCAGGGGAGCGAACGGG
rnacentral:rRNA from 1 species